rnacentral:lncRNA from 1 species
UUUGGGCUGAGUCAGAGAUGGACUCGGGAAUGUCUGGACCAUGAUGUACUGAACUUCAAAUUGGCUCUGCUUCCAUCCAGAGGAGAAUGAAAUUGAUUGGAAAAAUAGACAUCUGCUCUGCUCCAAUCACAAACAAUCCUUAAUUUUCAGAGGAAUUUCAUUUUCAUCCAGGCUUUAACACGUAGAAAAUUACAAAUUACUGAUUUCUUAUUGACUUCCUACAACUAAUGAUGGGAUUAUGAUGUCUCCAACUCAACCUUAUAUCAUAUGGGAAUAUCUAUUUCUCACCACCUUAAUAUGACCACAUUAUAAUUUGGGACAGCUUAAUAAUCAGUGUCUACAAUGUAACAACUACAUGAAUCUUAAAUAUGGCCAAGUCUGGUAACAUUUCCAGCUUUCACUAUGUUGAUUCUCUGAUACGUAUGCCUGUGUAGCCACUGCCAUAACCAAGAUGAACAGUUCCAUGACAAUAAAAGCCUCCUCUUAUGGUUUGGAUAUGGAAUGUCCCUUAAAAGGCUCAUGCAUUCUGAGAUUGACUUUUGGAAGGUAAAAGGUGAUUGGAUCAUAGGGUUACUAUUGGAUCAUGUGGUAUGAUCCCAUUGAUGAAUCCAUAGCUGAAUGUGUUGUUUGGAGGUAGGCCUGAUCAGAAGAGGCAGUCACUGGUGGUGUGACCUGAAAGAUAUAUUUCCCACCCUGGCUACCCUUGGUCUCUGCUUCCUGGGUGCCAUAUGUGAGCAACUGUCCUCCACUGCACCCUUUCAUCAUUCCUUUCCUGCUUUAGGGGCAGCUUUGGACUGUGGACAAUGUCCUCUAAAAACCACAAGCCAAGAUAAAUCUCCCUCCCCUGUAAGUUAUAGGUGUUGAGUAUUGUGUAUUAGUGCCUAGAAAAGUGACCAAAAUGACUCCCUCAUGUUACCUUUUCACAGUAAGACCCACCCCUACUAUGUCAAACAUCUGGCAAAUGCUAAUCUCUUCUCUAUCUCUUGAGGAUGUUAUAUAAAUAGGAUCUACAGUAGGUGACAUUUUUAGUUUGACUUUUGUCACUCUGUAUAAUGCCUUUGAAAUCCUCACAAGUUAUUUCAUAUAUACUUUAUUCCUUUUUGUCACUGAGUAGUAUUCAUUGUGUGUAUGCAUAUAGCUUGCUUAGCCAUUCACUUAUAAGACACUUUAAAUUGUACUGUUUGGUUAUUACUAAGAAAUCUGGUACACUAGAACCCAUGAAUAUUAAUUCAUGUAUAGGUUUUUGUGAAUGUUUUUAUUUUUUUCUGGGAUAAAUACAUGGCAAUUCAAUUGUUGG